GUGGGGGGGGAGCUCAGUGGUACAGUGCUUGCCUAGCAUGUGGGAGGCACUGAGUUCGAUCCUUGGCACCACA
rnacentral:tRNA from 1 species